AAUUUACUGUAUUUUCAAUUUCUUGCACACUAUUGUGACCACAAGGAGUGCAUUGAAGUUAUGCAAGGUGGAAGAAAAGGUUAGUAUUUUAACCUCUUGUGUUGAUAUUAAAUUCUUGAAUUACAUUUGAAAUACUGAUUAUAUGUUAAUGGUACUAGACAAAUUUAAAAUAUGUCACCCCUGGACAUUCUUUAGUUCUUUAACAAAACAUUCUUUAAUUUAGUACUCCCUCCGUAUCGUCAAUACCGUUCGUUUUGAAGCGACGGCGAGUUGUGUGAAUAGAAUUCGUUUCGGCGCUCGAGGCUCCCGUUGGACGUGACUGCCCCUCAUCAAAGCGACGUGGCCGUCGGUUCGGCUUCCUCGUGAGCGUCAUGCAAGCCCAUGCAAAAAUAUUUGCGCAAAAACCAACAGAGCAUCCAGGGCUGGAUCCCCAGACCUGAAGCCUCGCAGUGUGGUGGCUUCACCUAUCGGGCUAGGAAGGAUGUUUGUACAAUUGCACCUGCGGAGCUAUUUAACCCCUAAUUAAGGACUCCUUGAUGGACGUGCCCACCUCAAAAACGAACUCUAAAACUGAUAUGGAGGGAGUACCUAUUUACUGCAAAUACCCAAAUAGUAUAGAAAAGUCCUGCCGUUUUUAUUUGGUCUUCUACUAGAAGAAAAAGGGUGAUAGAUGGAGCUCUGUGUUCAGUUUGUAGGGAACUGAAUGGGAUGGGUGCAAUUGAAAGGGCGAUGACUAAAUACUGUGAUUGUGUGAUUAAAAAGAGAGACAUAUUUGACCCAUUUCUUGCCCUAACAUUUGAUUCUGAAGGUUAACUCAUGGAGUACUAUAAAACCUUUAUUCAUAGAAAGUUUGGGCUAAUGUCCACAAAGGAAAUGUAAACAGGAAAUUGUUUCCAAACAAUGAGGGGGAUUGAUUUUCAUGGACAGAUGGUUGUAUAUAUUUGACAAUCUAUCCUAUUCAGUUCUUGGAACAGUUCAUCAUGUUGGUAUAGCAUUUUUUUUGUUUUUUGGUUUGUUGUUUCCUAUUUAUGGUGUCAAGGGAUUUGACAAAAUGGUGUACUUCCAGGGCAACUAUAAAUGAUUAGGUUGCACACCAAACAAUUAUGCAGAGGGAAGGGAAUGGAAUUCUCAUCAGAAACUAGACCUGAACACAAGGGACAUGAUAUAACCAUCUGUCCAUGGAAGGAAAAACACUUGCAUGAAGACUGUACAGUGAGUACAAUGUUCAGAGAGGUUGCAUCAUAUUUAUCUUUUUUUUUCAAUAGAGAUGAUUCCUGUAUUUAGAAAUUUGAGCCAGGUUCAAAUGCUAGUUUCUUGAGGGAAAUAUGAUGUUCGUUUCUGAAGAAGCAUGUGAGUAGUAAAGUUCCAAGGCACUGCCACCAAUGAAUUCUUGCAAGUGGGAGCCUCAAGAUGCUGGUGCAAUUGGUGGCUGAGCUAGCUGAACUGCUGCAUGAUGUCUAGGGCCGUUGAUGACUGAAUUGUUGCUACAAAGAUGAUGACUCUGUUCAUACUGCAAUGAUGUUUGGUGUAAUUUCAUAAGCCCAUAAAGUUAUUCUGUAAAAUUAUUCGAAGUACUUAAUUUUGAAACACUAAUCCUAUACUCUCUCGG
rnacentral:lncRNA from 1 species